rnacentral:rRNA from 1 species
UGAGUAAUGUAUCGGAACGUACCUUUCAGUGGGGGAUAACGUAGCGAAAGUUACGCUAAUACCGCAUAUUCUGUGAGCAGGAAAGCAGGGGAUCGCAAGACCUUGCGCUGAUUGAGCGGCCGAUAUCAGAUUAGCUAGUUGGUGAGGUAAAGGCUCGCCAAGGCGACGAUCUGUAGCGGGUCUGAGAGGAUGAUCCGCCACACUGGAACUGAGACACGGUCCAGACUCCUACGGGAGGCAGCAGUGGGGAAUUUUGGACAAUGGGGGCAACCCUGAUCCAGCCAUGCCGCGUGAGUGAAGAAGGCCUUCGGGUUGUAAAGCUCUUUCGGCCGGGAAGAAAUCGUAUGGGUUAAUACCCUGUGCGGAUGACGGUACCGGCAUAAGAAGCACCGGCUAACUACGUGCCAGCAGCCGCGGUAAUACGUAGGGUGCGAGCGUUAUCGGAAUUACUGGGCGUAAAGCGUGCGCAGGCGGUUUUGUAAGACAGGCGUGAAAUCCCCGGGCUCAACCUGGGAACUGCGCUUGUGACUGCAAGGCUAGAGUACGGCAGAGGGGGGUGGAAUUCCACGUGUAGCAGUGAAAUGCGUAGAGAUGUGGAGGAACACCAAUGGCGAAGGCAGCCCCCUGGGUCGAUACUGACGCUCAUGCACGAAAGCGUGGGUAGCAAACAGGAUUAGAUACCCUGGUAGUCCACGCCCUAAACGAUGUCAACUAGGUGUUGGGUGGGUAAAACCAUUUAGUACCGGAGCUAACGCGUGAAGUUGACCGCCUGGGGAGUACGGCCGCAAGGUUAAAACUCAAAGGAAUUGACGGGGACCCGCACAAGCGGUGGAUGAUGUGGAUUAAUUCGAUGCAACGCGAAAAACCUUACCUACCCUUGACAUGUCCAGGAGCCUGAAGAGAUUUGGGUGUGCCCGAAAGGGAACUGGAACACAGGUGCUGCAUGGCUGUCGUCAGCUCGUGUCGUGAGAUGUUGGGUUAAGUCCCGCAACGAGCGCAACCCUUGUCGUUAAUUGCCAUCAUUCAGUUGGGCACUUUAACGAGACUGCCGGUGACAAACCGGAGGAAGGUGGGGAUGACGUCAAGUCCUCAUGGCCCUUAUGGGUAGGGCUUCACACGUCAUACAAUGGUCGGUACAAAGGGUCGCCAACCCGCGAGGGGGAGCCAAUCCCAGAAAGCCGAUCGUAGUCCGGAUCGUAGGCUGCAACUCGCCUGCGUGAAGUCGGAAUCGCUAGUAAUCGUGGAUCAGCAUGUCACGGUGAAUACGUUCCCGGGUCUUGUACACACCGCCCGUCACACCAUGGGAGCGGGUUCCGCCAGAAGUAGGUAGCCUAACCGCAAGGGGGGCGCUUACCACGGCGGGGUUCGUGACUGGGGUGAAGUCGUAACAAGGUA